rnacentral:rRNA from 1 species
CCCUUAUAUGUUCUGGGCCGCACGCGUGCUACACUGAGUGGAUCAGCGGGUCAGGUUGCGCGAAAGCGUUUCCUAAUCUUUAAAUCCGCUCGUGAUGGGGAUUGACGGUUGCAAUUUUCUGUCAUGAACGAGGAAUACCUUGUAAGCGCGGGUCAUCAUCCCGCGCUGAAUACGUCCCUGCCCUUUGUACACACCGCCCGUCGCUCCUACCGAUUGAGUGGUCCGGUGAGGCUUUGGGAUCUGAGCGGAAAGAGCGUUUCGCUGUUUCUGCUCGGAAAACUCAGUCGAACCUUAUCAUUUAGAGGAAGGAGAAGUCGUAACA